GAGGGCCGGUGGAGAAGGAAGAGGGGAAGCCGGGAAAGGAGGUGAGCAGAAGGUAGCUGAGAGUUGGCUGUUGGCCUUGACAAAGGAAUGUCUUGGUGCUUCACAGCGACCCCAAGAACCACAGCCACGGGGACAGAGACGCAUAGAUCUGGGCAUGCGGAGCUGUCCCCAGUGGGUCUUAGUAAGCCAGGAGGGUUGCUUUUUUUGGGAGACAGUGAUCUUGAUUUGAGUGUGAGCGCUGAUGGUAUGGCAGGAAACUUGUGCCUGAUUUUUGCUGAGUGGUCAGUGGUCCUAGCUCGGCUCUGGAAGGGACUCCGGGCAGCCUCCUCAGCACAGUGGCCGGGCUGGUCUGGAAGAUGGGCUCUCCCUAGACUUCGGCAUCGCAGGCUCACGUGGAGCCUGCAGUGGCUACAGCAUUCUGCCAAACUCUGCUUCGUCCGUCGGGCCAAGAGGAGCAGUGAUACAGAAGCUCAGGGAGAAAGCCGCCUGGCUUUCUAAGGUGAAAUAAAGAUGUCUUCAGCCAUACAAAAACGGAAAGAAUUCAUCACCAGCAACCUGUUCCUAUGGGACACAUUAAAGGGAAUCUGCCAAGGGAGAAUGACACCAGAUGGGAGAUUGGGAUCUGCAUGAUGGAGGGAAGGGCACCUGAAAAGGGACAAGAUGGAGCAGUGGGUGAGAGCAGAGACCUUCUGGAAGGGACCACCCGGUUCAAAUGGGAGAGGGGAAGAAGGAUACGUAAGUUGGAGUCUUGCCGUCCCACCAGCCAGAAAGCUUAUUUCCUCUUACAUGCAUAGAUGGGCCCCGUGCACAUAUGUUUUCAUGUUUCAACAAACUGCAGUCUGUUUCGGAGCUGAUUUGCUCACCCCCUUGGGGUGCGCCUCACUUUCUGCAUCUUCUUGGAGCAGUUCCACUGCAUCUAGGACCUUCUAUGGGUUCCCCGGGGAGACACACGCAUGCAUGGUGGGGUGGGACACAUGUAUGCACGGCAGGGACACGCGUGCAUGCACGGCAUGGGCAGCAUGCUGAGUGGCCUGGCCUGGGGAAGGAAGAUGAUAGGGACUAACUGAGAACUAACUGACCGUGCACCUCAGCUUCUCGAUUUCCCCGGAGGGGACUCCGGAACAUGGCCCUCCAGCAGCUGGGACAGGCUGCUUCUCCUUGCCUGCGGCCAGGAGAGUAUGGCUGAGCAGCUCUCCACGUGUGGCCGAGGCCGGGAGGGCCUUGGAAGGCAGCAGUGAGUUCAAGUCAUGUGGAUCGGUGCAUACUCUCAGCCCAGCGAGCGUGCACCGGCCGCGUGGGGUCUCGGCCAGCGCACAGCUGCCCCACCACCCCCGGCCACACACGAGCUGUGCCCUUUGCAAACAGACAGCGGCUGCGCUGUGCCACGAGGGGACAGGGGACCCAGAUGGGCCUGUCCCUCACUGGCUCCCAGACGUGGAGGCAGUGGGUGAGGGUGUUGAACUGCCACCGUUCCCACAGCCACGGCAACCUCCGUUUGCCCAGUUGCAUUACUGCUCUGCAGUGGGCAGACUGGCGCGGCUACAGCAGGGAUGCGCGGCAGAGGGGCGACAGCCCAUCGGCCCCCCUCAGAGAACCUCAAAGGGUGUCCUGUGUCUUCACCCAAAUGAGCACCGAGAAUCUGCUUUUCACGGACACAUCUGCUAACCUGCUCCCCAAAUUUAGUGUAACCCUCACGCCCUAGAAAUGGUGACAGAGGGGAGAGAUUUUUCCAUCUAUAAAGAUAUGAAUCAAAGUGUACGUUUGUUAACGUAGAAGAAUUUUUUAAAUCACUGCCCACAACUAUAGGUGGUGGCAGGACCAUAUGCAAGGAAAAUGAAAAUAAUUUUGUUCUCUAAGAUGCCCAUCUGGCAUUCUUUUGGGGAAGUCAGUUUUGUUCUUAAAAAAAAAUAAACAGGGUGGCAAUGCUAUGUCCAUGUGCCUUCAUGGUGGAGACGCUGAUGGUGGUGAGGUUGUGCAUGGAGGGAUAUAGGGGAAGUCUACUUUCUGCUUAAGUUUGCUGUGAACCUAAAACUGCCCUAAAAAAAUGAAGUCUAUUUUUAAAAAAGACUUAAGUUAUUUAUUUGAGAGAGAGAGAGAGAGCUCAUGUGCACACAUGAGUAGGGGAAGGCGCAGAGAGAGAGGGCGAAUCUCAAGUGGCCUUUGACUUGGGGUUCAACCUCACACCCCCAGGGCGGGGCCCGUCGCGGGGCUCGAACUCACAACCCUGAGAUCAUGACCUGAGCUGAAAUCGAGAGUCGGAUGCGUCACUGACUGAGCCACCCAGGUGUCCCCGAAAAUAAAGUCUGUUUUUAAAAACUAGUUUAAAAAAUAGACAAACGAGCCACAUACUUUCUCAGGGCACUCCGUCCCAGGCGAUACUCCUCGGAUUCCCGGUAGUAGGUCUGCUUGCCAAUCUCCCGUUCCCAGAAGCGCUUGAGCUCGUGACAGGUGUUCCGGCAGAAGAUCUCCCGGCGGGCGUACUGACUGUUCAUCCCCUGAAAAGGAAGGUAUCAAUUGAGCCCCUUCAGCCUUGAGCUCCCUUAGAUGCUGGGGGGUACAGGCUCUUUUUUUUUUUUUUUAAAGAUUGUAUUUAUUUAUUCAUGAGAGGCAGGGACACAGGCAGAGGGAGAAGCAGGCUCCAUGCAGGGAGCCCGACGUGGGACUCAAUCCCGGGUCCCCAGGAUCAGGCCCUGGGCUGCAGGCGGCGCCAAACUGCUGAGCCACCCGGGCUGCCCGUAUAGGCUCUUUUGAACCCAGUCCCUGCCAUUUAUUUGAGGGGACCCCGGCCAGCCGCAGAACCUCAGCUGGGGGAUGACAGCAUGAUCUGGCUGCUUGUCAUCAGGAUACAGGGAUGGGACUGCAGAAGCCCCAGUGGAGCGGGGCUUGGCACAGGCACCUGGCAAAUACCUCUGACCUUGCGUCCUCCUCCCAGAAAAACGGGCCUUCUCAACUUUGAAUCCCCAGGCAAAGCGUGCCAGGCAUCUGAUGUGCGGUCCGUUGCGUUACCUCAGCAUCCCCACGAGUGGGCAUUACCUUCCUCGUUUUGUGGGUGAGACGUGUGCUCAGCCAGGAGACUAUGGCCGAGCAGCUCUCCACGUGUGGCCGGAAGUUAAAGAACUUGCCCGUAACUCCCACGACUGCAGAAGGCAAGCCGCAUGCUUCGGAAUGUUUUCAAGCCCUGUGCUAAAGGGGUUUGUCACACAAAGUGACACACCUGGAGCAGAUGGCUCGAAGGUGUAUGCAUGUGUGCAUGCACUUUUGUACGGGACUGUACGUGUCAGACACUCAAGGAUGCUCGCUGAUUUACACGAAGGAGCUCUGCCCAACUCCAGACCUCAGUGGGUGCAGGGGACAGGCCAGAAGCAGGAACUGGAGGGGCAAGGGGUGCAGAGAGAGGAGCGGUGGGCUAUUGGAAAUAUCCCGGGAGAAGGUCUGACCAGGCAGCGGAGGCCAGGUUAAUGGAAAGCGGACGGGUUCACAAGGCAUCUUGGGGGUGGCAAGGGGUCCCCGUGGAGACUUCAAUGCCUUUGCACAGGUGGGAAACAGCAGAGGAAGGAGCUCCUUGGGCAGUGCUGGGCAGAGUCUGAGCUGCCCGGGUGCGACAUCAGGGGGAGGUCCUGAAGGGGCGUCUGGACCCAGGGCCCGGCACUCAGUGUGCAGAUCAGGACCACAGCUCUGUCGCAGAUACCGACGGGGGUUUCAAGCAAGAUAUUGGCUCUGGACCUGUUUGUCCAUCCACUUGACACACCUUCUGCUUGUCAAUAAAUUCUCCAGGCCUCAGUUUUCUCAGCUGUGAAAUUUCUCUGAAGAUGAAAUUUGAUCACGAAUGUGAAACUAUCUAGCAAUGUAUAAAUUUCUGAAUAAAUAUAACUUGUGUAGUUCAUAAACCUCAAAUUGUACAGGGCUUAAUACGAUAAUUAACGGUGGGUAAUAAUAACCUCCUCCAACUUUCUAUAGAGAUGAAGUAAUUGCACUUCUCUUUCCUUCUGGAUCAGUGGCUUGACCUUGGCUGCCCAUUGGAAUCUCUUGGGGAGCUUUGUGAAAACCUGACGCCCGGGCUUCAUCCCCAGGGGGUCUGAUUUGAGCAGACCACUGUGUGGCCUGGGCAUCAGGGUUUUUGAAAGCUCCCCCUGUGUUUCCAGCGUGUGGCCAAGGUGCAAACUGCAAUCAUGGACCGUGUCCUCCUGUGUGCUGGGUCCAGGAAGGCUGAGGUGAUGAGGGCUGGGCGUAAAGGCAUAGAGAUAUCACGGUCACAGCCAUCUUGCAAAGUAUGCACUUUCCUCCCCCAUUUUGCAGGUAAGAAAACUGAGGCUUGGGAGUAGCAAUUUGACUUUAUCAAAGUCAUUCAGGUGGAAAAUAGAAGCCUGAGCCUGAACACGGACUAUGUACAAUGUCAGGGAACUUUACAACUGUUCGCCCGGGUGCACUAGCUGUGUUCAGGUCUGGGGGCUGCCAAAGCUACACACUUGGGAGCUGGGUUUGGAGAAUUGCUGAAAACAAGGGGGGCACCAAGCACAUGAUCACAUGGAUCACAUCAAGGAGAGACCAGUGGAAGGCAGGCAGCAAGCUGUGGGAACCACUCAUUCUCCAUCUGCUUCAGUCAUUCUUUGGGCUGAGCUUCUGGGACACCAGGCCAGGGGAGUCACCGAGAGCAGAGGAGGUUAAGGAAGACUCACAGACCCAACGCCACGGGCCAGGCGAGCCUCAUAAGGGAGGGAAGCACCUGUGCCCCAUAGCAAGCUGAGGGCAGAGACCACUACAGAGUCCAUUCACAUCCUACCCAUGACAUCAGAAUGCUUUGUCUUGGACCCUGUUGGCCCCUGGAAAGAAGAGUUUGGGCCACAUUGGGCCCGUUUGCAGCCACGAAUGUAAUGUAUCCUAUACCCCUCUUACAGGUGUAUUCCCACCCUGUGCCCCAGGGCUGACCCCCAAACCGUCUGUAGGUAGCCCACCUGUGCUCUCCAGAUGUCCUCAGGGUGCCCUGCGCUCUCCAGCUCUCUCUUCUUUUGCUACAGAGAGCCUCAGAGUCUCUCAGGGCCUCUCCCUUCCCCAAGCCACACUCUGUUCCUGGUUUGCCGCUCUUCCGUCAUCCUGUCCUGGCAGCUCCUGGAAUCGGCUAUUCGUGAAAUCUCAUCUUGCCUGUAGCAGGUGUGCAGGUGCACCUGUCCUGCUUGCUUAACGCGGUGUGAUCCCUGCUCACCCCCGGGGCCCAGAUUCACAUCCAACAAGCGAAUGGGCACCCUGCUGGGGUCACCCCAGAGCUUCGGGAUUCUCUUUAUGUGUUUUGCACCUCAGUUUUGUCGUCUGUGAAAUGGGAUUGUGAUGAAGAUUAAAUCAGAUCAUGUUCAAGACAAUGCCUAACACAAAUGUGUCAAGCGUCACGCUGUGUGCUGGGCUCUGGCAAACCCAGUCCUGGCCCUCUGAUUUUCUCAGACUGUUGUCUGAACAAGGACAUCAUUAGCCACAGCUAAUAGAGUAUAAUUGACAACCCCAAAUUAAGUGUCACUUUUCCUUAUUUGUACAUAAUAUUGAAUGUUUGGCUUCUUGAGUAUGUGGUUGAGCUUCAUUUAGCUUUGUACUGGUCUUCUGGGCACUACUUAGGAACGGUUAGAUAACAAGGCAGAAGUGUUUCAGGUUUUCAGAUUGGACAAAUGUUCCAUAUAGGGUGAUGCUCAGUGGAGCGCUUGAUAAAAACUUUUGACUGGUGUCAUUUUUUUUUUUAAGAUAGAUUUAUUUAUUUUAGAGAGGGAGAGCAUGCACGAGUGGGAGGGGCAGAGGCAGAAGCAGAGGGAGAUAGAAUCUCAAGCAGAUGCUGCACUGAGCCUGGAGCCCGAUGCAGGGCUCUAUCCCACCACCCAUGAGAUCGGGACAUGAGCCGAAACUGAGAGUCGGAUGCUGAACCAACCGCACCAUCCAGGUGCCCCUGAUUGGUGUCAUUCUUAUUUCCUUUCGCCUCUGAUACAUCAGAGAUGAGCCUCACCAUGACCAUUCAUUGGAAGGUGC